rnacentral:ribozyme from 15 species
GCAGAUAUGUCUACACGUGCAGAAGGAUCACGAAAAAAAAAAAAAAAAAAAAAAAAGGAGAAAUUGAGAGAUACAGCAUAGCGCAUGUCG